rnacentral:rRNA from 1 species
CCCUUAGAUGUUCUGGACAGCACGCGCACUACAAUGGUCUUCGCAAACGGAUGCAUUCUCGAAGGAGAAUGCCAAUCUUGGAAUCUAUGCCUUGGUCGGGACAGUUGCUUGCAAUUUUUCGACUCGGACCAGGAAUUCCUUGUAAUCGUGAUUCAUCACAUCACGAUGAAUACGUCCCUGCCCUUUGUACACACCGCCCGUCGCUCCUACCGAUCGAAGAGUUAGGUGAAUUGUUUUGAUCGAUAAGAUUUGACUAUGGUCAACUCUCGUUGUGAAAUUCUGUGAAUCUGACUGUUUAGAGGAAGGAAAAGUCGUAACA